rnacentral:rRNA from 1 species
UGCGAACUCCUACGGGAGGCAGCAGUGGGGAAUUUUGGACAAUGGGGGCAACCCUGAUCCAGCAAUGCCGCGUGAGUGAAGAAGGCCUUCGGGUUGUAAAGCUCUUUUGUCAGGGAAGAAACGGUAGUAGCUAAUAUCUAUUACUAAUGACGGUACCUGAAGAAUAAGCACCGGCUAACUACGUGCCAGCAGCCGCGGUAAUACGUAGGGUGCAAGCGUUAAUCGGAAUUACUGGGCGUCAAGCGUGCGCAGGCGGUUGUGUAAGUCAGAUGUGAAAUCCCCGGGCUCAACCUGGGAAUUGCAUUUGAGGCUGUAAGGAUAGAGUGUGUCAGAGGGGGGUAGAAUUCCACGUGUAGCAGUGAAAUGCGUAGAUAGGUGGAGGAAUACCGAUGGCGAAGGCAGCCCCCUGGGAUAACACUGACGCUCAUGCACGAAAGCGUGGGGAGCAAACAGGAUUAGAAACCCCGGUAGUCCAGAUG